UGUGGUGGCGAUAGCGAGAAGGAUACACCUGUUCCCAUGCCGAACACAGAAGUUAAGCUUCU
rnacentral:rRNA from 1 species